GAUGAACGCUGGCGGCGUGCUUAACACAUGCAAGUCGAACGAGAAGUGAAGACGGAAACCUUCGGGCGGAAGGCUUUAUUUCGAGUGGCGGACGGGUGAGUAACGCGUGGGUAACCUGCCUCAUACAGGGGGAUAACAGUUGGAAACGACUGUUAAUACCGCAUAAGACCACAGCACCGCAUGGUGCGGGGGUAAAAACUCCGGUGGUAUGAGAUGGACCCGCGUUCGAUUAGCCAGUUGGCGGGGUAACGGCCCACCAAAGCGACGAUCGAUAGCCGAUCUGAGAGGAUGACCGGCCACCUUGGGACUGAGACACGGCCCAAACUCCUACGGGAGGCAGCAGUGGGGAAUAUUGCACAAUGGGGGAAACCCUGAUGCAGCGACGCCGCGUGAGUGAAGAAGUAUUUCGGUAUGUAAAGCUCUAUCAGCAGGGAAGAAAAUGACGGUACCUGAGUAAGAAGCCCCGGCUAACUACGUG
rnacentral:rRNA from 1 species